AAAGGGAGACAUAAUUCAUAGCUCCUAUCAUGAGACAUAAAGCACUCUGCCAGGAGGUAUAUUCCAAACCAGCAUUGGCUCCUCUUCCUUACUCAAGAAACCAGUUUUUCACAAAACCAUCACCCCAUCCAAACUUUCCUUCAGGCUUCCUGGCCCUCGGUCAAGCAGUUAAGUCAUUCUGUUGCAGCCCUUAUUUAGGAACUGCUGGCAGGCUGGCUGAGGAACCAGGGAAUCGUGGAGGGAAAGAGAGCCAACUUCUGCAGCUUCCCAAAGCUGUACGACCACGCGCAAGGGCAGAACACUAUUUAUAGGAUCCCACCUAAGUUUCUUGGGGGAAUAAAGGAAGCAGGACGGUUGGUGGUGAGGUGACGAAGGAACAGUUACCACGGAGAUUGGAAGAGGACAACAAUCUCUGGGGAUGCAGUUGCUCCCAGAUCAGUCUUACCAGGAUGUAGACACAUUCCAGGGGAAAUUUCGCAGCACUCUCUACCGUUAUAUUUCCGAAGAAGCAGCAUCAACUGGUCUUUGCUGAGCUUCUGAGAUCCAAGUUGGAAGCCCUGGAAGGUGCUACAAUAAGGCAAUAGUUUCUAACAGGAUUUUUACUUUUCUAAAAAAAUAAGAAUUUGUUCCAUGUUUCUUAAAAUA
rnacentral:lncRNA from 1 species